AUAUAGGGGAACCAUGACAGACCAAAGUACAGAUAACACCGAAGUUCAACUUGGUUUGGGUUCUCAACCCUGUUGAUCUCUUCAAGGAUUGGAAAAAUGAGCACAGUAGAAACAACACAGAACAAAGCUCUACAACCCAGAGGAAAUCAAAGCCAUCAGACUGGCGCAGAACAGGGAGAGAAGGAAGUGAGAUGAGUGGAGACUACAGAGAGCUUAUGAGCUAAUGAUCUC